rnacentral:rRNA from 1 species
GGGCUGUAACUGACGCUGAGGCUCGUAAAGCUGGGGAGCAAACAGGAUUAGAUACCCUGGUAGUCCACGCCGUAAACGAUGAGUGCUAGGUGUUAGGGGUUUCGAUACCCUUGGUGCCGAAGUUAACACAGUAAGCACUCCGCCUGGGGAGUACGGUCGCAAGACUGAAACUCAAAGGAAUUGACGGGGACCCGCACAAGCAGUGGAGUAUGUGGUUUAAUUCGAAGCAACGCGAAGAACCUUACCAGGUCUUGACAUCCAACUAACGAAGCAGAGAUGCAUCAGGUGCCCUCGGGAAAGUUGAGACAGGUGGUGCAUGGUUGUCGUCAGCUCGUGUCGUGAGAUGUUGGGUUAAGUCCCGCAACGAGCGCAACCCUUGACUUUAGUUGCCAGCAGGUGAAGCUGGGCACUCUAGAGUGACUGCCGGUGACAAACCGGAGGAAGGUGGGGAUGACGUCAAAUCAUCAUGCCCCUUAUGACCUGGGCUACACACGUACUACAAUGGCCGGUACAACGGGAAGCGAAGCCGCGAGGUGGAGCCAAUCCCAGCAAAGCCGGUCUCAGUUCGGAUUGCAGGCUGCAACUCGCCUGCAUGAAGUCGGAAUGCUAGUAAUCG